rnacentral:lncRNA from 1 species
ACAGAUGGGUUUUUGGUGUGGAUGUCCUUUCUGUUUGUUAGUUUUCCUUCUAACAGACAGGACCCUCAGCUGCAGGUCUGUUGGAAUACCCUGCCAUGUGAGAUGUCAGUGUGCCCCUGCUGGGGGGUGCCUCCCAGUUAGGCUGCUCGGGGGUCAGGGGUCAGGGACUCACUUGAGGAGGCAGUCUGCCCGUUCUCAGAUCUCCAGCUGCGUGCUGGGAGAACCACUGCUCUCUUCAAAGCUGUCAGACAGGGACAUUUAAGUCUGCAGAGGUUACUGCUGUCUUUUCGUUUGUCUGUGCCCUGCCCCCAGAGGUGGAGUCUACAGAGGCGGGCAGGCCUCCUUGAGCUGUGGUGGGCUCCACCCAGUUGGAGCUUCCCAGCUGCUUUGUUUACCUAAGCAAGCCUGGGCAAUGGCGGGCGCCCCUCCCCCAGCCUCGCUGCCGCCUUGCAGUUUGAUCUCAGACUGCUGUGCUAGCAAUCAGCGAGACUCCGUGGGCGUAGGACCCUCCGAGCCAGUGAGAUGAACCCGGUACCUCAGAUGGAAAUGCAGAAAUCACCCGUCUUCUGCGUCGCUCACGCUGGGAGCUGUAGACCGGAGCUGUUCCUGUUCGGCCAUCUUGGCUCCUCCCUCAGGAUGAAAUUAUGAAUUUUUAAAAUCUAAAAAAUAAGAGAAGGAAGAAGGAAUUGACUUCCAAUGUUUUGCUAAAAAGAUUAUUCAUGAUGAUCCAAGAGCACAUCCACCCCUCACAAUCACCAUCACCACCUAGUCGGGUCCUCUAUUCCUCCAACUAGGGCCAAGCAUGGAAAUGGCCAGGGCUGGAGUAUCCUUCAGAAAGCCUGGGCAAUAAACCGAAGGCUCCUAAAAAGAGCAAAGUGUCUGCCAGGCACGAUGGCUCAUGCCUGUAAUCCCAGAACUUUGGGAGACCAAGGCAGGUGGAUCACCUGAGUUCGGGAGUUCGAGACAAGCCUGACCAACGUGGUAAAACCCUAUCUUUACUAAAAAUACAAAAUUAGCCAGGCAUGGGGGCAUAUGCCUCUAAUCCCAGCUACGCGGGAGGCUGAGGCAGGAGAAUCGCUUGAACCCAGGAGGCAGAGGUUGCGGUGAACUGAGAUGGCGCCAUUGCACUCCAGCUUGGGCAACAGGAGUGAAACUCCAUCUCAAACAACAACAACAACAACAACAACAACAACAACAACAAAAACACUUUCACACCUGAAUGACUAAAUAAUUGGAAAUAAUAAGGGUUGAGGGGGAGAAUAAAGCUACUGAAAUAUGGAAAGAAGACUAACACUACUUUUAAACUGAUGUUCUACUAAUGUAGACCCGUACAUCAUAUCACCAUUACAUUGUUUAAGCAUUAAAGUUUGCACUGUAAGUGGCUCUUUAAACCCUUCCCUCCAUUUCUUUUCCCUCUCUUUUUUUCUUCAAUUGAGGUGAUUUUUUUUUAAACUGACUCCCGACACUGCAUUCUGAAAGUGCUUGGAAGAAGAGCGUAAUUCUUCCUAUUCCAAAGUCAGUUAAACAACAUGAGGAAUUUGUAUCCAUCUAAGAAAUAUUUUCCUCAAUAUUUCCUCAGAAUUUAAGAUGAAUAUCAUUUUUUCCAAUAGGAAGAAACUUACAUUUCAUUAAUUUAAUGAUAAAACAGAGAUAUAAUACAGUAUAUUUAAUUCUGAAAUAUUUGCAUAAUAGAAGAUGUAGUAUAACUAAUCCAAAUCAUGACAAAAACAAAAAUAAUUUACAUUCAGCUUGACAUUUGUUUUUGUAUUUUUUAAUGUAAAAGGCUUAUUUUCUUAUUUCUUGUUUAUGCAAGUAAUUAAAAUUAAUGUUUUCCUCCUGAGUUGGAUCAGUCCAAAUAAAGAAUUCAGAUUUUCCCCCACACACACACACAGACACACACACACAGAAAGUCCAUCCAGCAAGUAACUUCUUGUAUAUAAGUUGAAUGUGAAAAAUUAUUGGAAUGGUGGUUGCAGAAGCUCUCAAAGAGCAAGUCCUGACGUUAGGAAAAACAUUCUGAGAAAACCAAAGAGAAGCUAUAACAUGGAAAGUAUAGGUAACAAGAAUUCAGAAUUUCAGGAGACCACAUGAAAUCUCAAGAAGCAAGAAAAAUAGGGAACUCAUGAGAAAAGCUAUGAAUUGCUUAAUAUUUUUGAAACCUAGCUUUCUCAACUUCUUUUGAGCAUUACUGAAAAUGCACAAAAGAUUAAUGAAGAGACAUAUAUGAUUCAUUCUUUUAACUCAUUUACUUAUCACCAGUGGAUUCGCAAUAUACAUGGGAAAAUACAGAUCUCAAGAGUUAGAACUAGAAUUUAUCAACCCACAGAUAUCUGAUGACAUAUGGGAAAGCUCUCUUGGGUUUUGGAUUGGUCUCUGUGUGAGCUUUUCAAUGCUGUUCAGAACCAGGAAAUUACACUAGGUUUCUUUUUGUUACUAAAAUUUGGCUUUUAGUCAGAGUUAAGGCCGAUGUUAGGUGUAAAUCAUAAGAGUAUCUGGUCCAACUAAAAUAUUAUUUUUGAACUGGGUUUUAGACUAGACCCUCAUAUAUAUCAGCUGUUCCCAGGCAGAGUAGCAAAAAAAAUCUGUUCAAAAAAACACUGUUUACUUAAUCCUAUCUCCUAAUAUUGUGCUUAAAAAUGAUUAUGACAAUACUGGGAAAAAGAUUGGGCUUUCUGUUUUGCAUUCAUAGAAUUGAACUUUAAUUUAAAUAAUAAAGCAAAGGAAUAUAGGAUCAAAAACAGUUUUUUCAUUGUUUAGUUUCUACAAGUUAUGACCUUUUAGUUUUAGGUAAGGGGAAAUCUCUGUUAACACUUUCUCUUAUCUAAAAGCUUCCUAGGACUCUUUCCCCUUUUCUCUCCUUUUCCUUACUGCCAGCCCCUACCUUGUUUCCUUUACUUUUGCCCAGCCGUGCUCCCUCAGUAGGAUCUUUUCAGUUCUCCCUAUGGGCCCAGAUGCAUUCCAGACUAGGACAUUGAGUACAUCAGAAGCCCCAUAUUCUGUAUCUAAUGAGUAUUCAAGUUAGAUCUUGUGGCCCAUGUCAACUCUAUUCUUCAGCCUCAGGAUUCUGGAUGAUUUCUCUCCAAUCCACUUAUGACCUAGGGCACAGUUCCUACCUCACGCUCCUGCUUGACAAGCUCAUUCUCCUUAAGGGAUUGUCAGGUGUUUGAACCAGAGCGACUCCAUCUUGAAUAGGGGCUGGGUAAAAUAAGGCUGAGACCUACUGGGCUGCAUUACAAGGAGGUUAGGCACUCCUAGUCACAGGAUGAGAUAGGAGGUUGGCACAAGAUGCAGGUCACAAAGACCUUGAUGAUAAAACAGAUUGUGGUAAAGAAGCUGGCCAAAACCAAGACAGUGACAAAAGUGACCUCUGGUCGCCCUCACUGGUCAUUAUACAGUAAUUAUUAUGCAUUUAGUAUGCUAAAAGACACACCCACCAGGACCAUGAUAGUUUACAAAUGCCAGGGAAAUGUCCAGAAGUUACUCUGUAUGGUCUAAAAAGGGGAGGAGCCCUCAUUUCUGGGAAUUGCCCAGCCCUUUCCAAGAAAACUCUUGAAUAAUUCAUGCUUUGUUUAGCAUAUAAUCAAGAAAUAACUAUAAGCAUACUCAGUUGAGCAGCCCAUGCCACUGUUCUGCCUAGGGGGUAGCCACUCUUUUAUUCCUUUACUUUUUUCUUAAUAAAUUUGCGUUCACUUUACUCUAUGGACUCACCCCAAAUUCUUUCUUGUGCGAGGUCCAAGAACCAUCUCUUGGGGUCUGGAUUGAGACCGCUUUAAGGUAACAGAGUGAAUACUUGCCUUGAGCCCAGACUGUUUCUUGUUCUGCCAGCCUCCUUCCCCAGCAGGCUGGAUUCUGUAUCCUGUUUCUUUUCCUGUGAAUCACAGGUAUUACCCUGAGUAUGGCAUGCUGCCUCCAUGAGUCUGCCUUGUAAAAAUAUAUCUCCCACCACUGCUGAUUGUUUCCUAUAUUCAUGGAAGCUUGAACUAGGUCUGAUAUUUCAUACUUAGUGUGUUUUGUGGAAUUGCUUAUUCUGCCGCUCUUAUUAGGGCCAGCCUCUUAGGUAGGUUUUCCCACUUCCCAUGGGCCUGGCUUCUUCAUUACUUCCUGCUCACUCCUCUCUACAUAAUCUACACACCUAGACCCUUGGUGACACUCUAUCAAUUUUCAUAACUAUAUUUAGGAAAUAUGUAGAGCCCUCUGCUUUCCAUUGCUGCUCUGCCCCUCUUGCCUCAAACUCAAACAGCACAGCAUAUCUUGUGUCCAAAGCCCAUCAAAGGUAAUGCAGAAAAAUAAUUCUCUCCUGCUCAUUUAUUGUGCUCAGUUUCCCCAUCACCCUCUCCAACAAUGCACAAUAUAACCACCUCCCACCAAAAAUCACAGCUUGAUGAACAGAGUCUAAUAAGUGAAAAGGUGUCAAAGAAGGCCGGAGUGGCUGCAGCUGAAGAGAAACGUGGAGUUAGCACUGAGCUUAGGGAUGCAUACUGAAGCCAAACAGCCUAAUCUUUGUAGUUCAUAGAAAUGGAGUGAUGUAUAAUUUGUUAUCCAAAUGGACCCUAUUCCAGAGUAAAAAGGAACACUAUCAAUAAUUUCACCAAGACAGUGAUGUAAAAUGACACUAUAUAGGACUAAUUGGAAAGUAUGGUCAACUUAUGAAUAUAGGAAUUUUGUUUCUGGUCUAAGAGCAAUAAGGAAUCCAUUAGUGAGUUUUAGACUUCUGCAUGAUUUGAUCUGCGUUUCACGAAUGCGUCUGUGGAGGAAUGAUCAGUUCACAACAUGGUCACAACCCCUCUCUCCAAACUGUCUCCUUUCCACGGAGGGUCUCUUGGUAAUUACCACUGCCACCAACAUGCUUGCUCCAUGGCUAUGCUUCCACCUGGUAAUAUUCUAAGACCACAAGACAAUAUGAUUUCACACUUUAUAGGAAAACUGAGUUAAACAGGAAGCAUUUAAAGAUGGUGUGGCUAACAAUGUUAGGUUAUAGGCCCCAACAAUGCAGACAGCCCUUUUUAUAUCUGUAGGUUCCAUAUCCGUGGAUUCAACCAACUUCACAUCAAAAACAUUUUUUAAACCCCAAUAAAAAUAGCAAUACCACAAUAGGAAAUAAUACAAAUAAAAUACAGAAUGACAACUAUUUACAUAGCAUUUCCAUUGUACUAGAUAUAAAUAAUCGAGAUGAUUUAAAGCAUAUGGGAGGAUUGUAUAGGUUAUAUGCAAAUACUAUGUCAUUUUAUAUCAGGAACUUGAGCUUCUGCAGAUUUUGGUAUCCACAGGAAGCUCCUGGAGCCAAUGACCUAUGACUAUUGAAGGACAGGGAUGAAAGUAUUCAAUUUCAAGUGACAGCUUAUGCAUUGUAAAGAAAUAAUUAUUAUGUUACUUUUUCAUAGUUUUAAAUACAGACAUCUUGAAAAAAGUGAAAAUACAGAUAAUUACAAAAAAAGAAAUUAGAUGUCACUAUGAUUAUAGCAAUCAAAAGUGUAAUGAUGAAUAUUUUAGGUGCACUUUCUUCAGCUACUCUCUUUCUCUCUUUUCUCUUUCUCUGUCUCUCCGAUAAUACUAAGUAUAAUUUUAUUUCUAGUUUUUUCACACUUUGUUACAUUAUUUUUAUUUUCCUAUGUCAUUAAUACAUCUUGGUAAAUACUAUUUUACUUUCAGCAUAAUAUGCCAUCAUAUGGAGAUAUUAUAUCUUAAUAAUUUCUCUAUUGUUGAAAAUGUUGAUAAAAACUUUGGCAAAAGUAUGUAUCUAUACUUCAAAACAUUUCUUUAUAAUGGUUUCUUAGAAGUGGAAUUACUCUUAGAGUGGAAUUACUCUUAAAUAGAUAAAACCAUAAUUAAACUUCUUGAUAGAUAUUGGCAAACUGCUUUCCAGAAAGUUUCACGUGAUUUACAAUCAUAUCAGCAUUGUGGGAGAAAACCCAAGUCACUCUCUCAAGUUCCCAGUGUUGUCACUUGCUAAUCUCUGCAAGUGGCCUGUACCAUUACUGCUUUGUAGAGUUUAUUGUGAUUUUCUUUGUAAUCUUUUUGUAAAUGUCCCAUGGACAACAGAAGCAUUUUUUUUUAAUUUUGCAGUUUGCUGAGAAAAGUGUUAUACCCAUUAAUUAAUCAACUUUACCAAAUAAAAGUUUCAUCUUCUAUGUUAUCAUGCAUCUACUUUUUCUGCAAUAUACUGAAGAAGGAUCUAUUUUGGGUUUCUUGAUCAGUAGUAGAUUAAAAAUACAUUCUAAAAUCCUUCAUUAGAAUUAGUUUCUCCUCAUAUUUCAGAUGACUUUUGAUUUGUCCAUGUUUAUGCUCUUCUAGGUACAUGAAUGUUGAGUCUCAUGAUUGUUGAGUCUUCCUUAGAAGUUUUACCCUUUAGAAAUAAAAAGCAUUUUAUGUCUAUUUUCACUAACAUUAGUUUUUCCUUAUUAUUUUGUAUAUCCUUGCUCAUUUAUUCUUUUUUAACUUAAAGUUUUAAUUUUGUUUAUUUCAAGCUUAUUUAACUAGUUCAAGUAGCAAGCAUAACAUUGAAAUUAACGUAAUACAAUCUAACACUUUUCCUCUUUUUUUUUUUUUUUUUUUUUUGAGACAGAGUCUCGCUCUGUCACCCUGGCUGGAGUGCAGUGGUAUGGUCUUGGCUAACUGCCAGCUCUGCCUCCUGGGUUCACGCCAUUCUCCUGCCUCAGCCUCCCAAGUAGCUGGGACUACAGGUGUCCACCACCACGCCUGGCCAAUUUUUUGUAUUUUUAGUAGAGACAGGGUUUCACUGUGUUAGUGUUAGCCAGGAUGGUCUUGAUCUCCUGACAUCGUGACCCACCCACCUCAGCCUCCCAAAGUGCUGGGAUUAACACUUUUACUUUUAAAACUUUGAUCCUUUCAUCUAUUAUAUUUUUAUAUUCAUUCUUGCAUCUGUUAUUUUGUAUUAUGGUCUUCUUUUCAAUGUUUUCUUUUUCUUUUGUCAUUUUUUUGAGUUCAGCGUAUGUGUGUGUGCUAUUAGACAUCCAAUUCUAGCAGCAUAAUUUUCUGAAAGACAUUCUUAAAAAUCUGUGUUUAACUAAAUGCCAAGGCCAAUAACAUAUAAAUAAUUUUAAAUUAAAGGUGUAGUUUCAAUAUUCCAUUUUACCCCUCUCCUUUACCAGAUUUCCCAAAUUCAAUUAAAGUUGUAAAUAUGACCAAAUUUCUUCUUUAAAAAUAUUUAACUUCUUUUUUUAAAAUGGGUCUUUUCGUUACUUACCUCUAUGUGCUUAUUUCAAUGCUCAAAUGAGUCUAAUCAUGAUUAUCUCAUUCCUGAGUUCCUUACUUUGAUUUGUCUUUCAUCUGCUACCACCAGAAACAUACCAACAUCUCUAGGCCUUAGGGGUUAGGUUUGGGAAAUCGAAGAGGUAUACCUCUCAUCCUAUCUAAAAUCCACAUCUCUCCCAUCAUCUCCUGCCCCAGGUUGACACUGGGAAUAUGCACACAUUUUAGAAGACAUCUCAAUUGUCACCUUGCCCCUUCCAUGGGUGUGACAGAGCCUCAAGGCAGGUUUCAGUGUCAUUUUCUCUCCCUUAGAGCUGAAAACAUGGUGUAAUUUGCAUUUAGGAUCUAAGUUGGUGCACCUUAUUAUUAGAGAAAUAUUCUACUAUUCCUGAGCUCGUUGUUUUUGUUUCAUCAUUUCUAUUCUUUCAUCCGUGUGUUGGGUCUUUGAAUUCUCUAUACUUAUCACUUUAACACUAUUAUCCUAUUUUAUUUGUGUGCUUCUUUCCGGAAAAAGAAAUUUACCAGUAUUAUUUUCCAUGACAUCUAGCCUGACUCAUUGUUGUUUUAUAUCCUUUGGCAACUGUGUUUUUCAUAUUUCUUGUCCAGGCUCCUAACCUUUCCUUUUAUCUAACUCUAUUGAUAUUCUUGUUGAAAGUCCUAUUAUUUUGUUACUGUUUUGUUUGUUUUCUAAGACUAUUUCUAACAGGUGAUCCACUUUCCAUGUUCUAAAAUAAGAAGCCAAAUCCUUCAGACACUCCAUUAGCAUCGUAGUGUCAAAGCUCUGUGCUACAGUUCUCACCCGUACUCUCCCUCCUUCCCCAGUGCUGUAUCGCCAAGGAGGAGCUCAUCAUGGAUUAUUUAUUCUUUGGGACUGAACCUGGAAGUACCUUCUUGAACAUUUUUGGCUAGAAUCUUCAGCAGUCCUUAACAUGACUCAGCAUAUUUCCUGUGAAACUUUACAGGCUGAAGAUUCACAAAUGAGCUUCCUUUUCCAAGUAUGACUAAAUAAAACAUAAUCAUCCAUAUAUGCUUCUCAUACAUUAGGAUUGCUUCAAACUGGCCUCUUGUAGUGAUCAGUCUCUGCUCAGUGUUGGCACAAUUGCCAAUCGCCCACUGUACGCCAUUUGUACAUUGCUGAGCGGCACGAGGUCUGCGAGUCAAUGCUGGGCAGAUGGAGAAUGUGGAGUGAGUCUCCUGCCUGACUCUCAGGACACUCUUAUCUCUAACAUUUAGCCCUCUAACCUAGAGUGAAUCCCCAGCGCAUUGCUCAAUUCAACUCCCAUUCUUUUGCAGAUGUGCCAGGGUCAUGUAUCAGUCUUCCAGGCAGAUGGUUUCCAUUAAUCUAAUACUAUUUGUAAUGGGUAAUUGUAUGGGUCAACAUGGCAAGGCUCUGGUGCUUGAACAAACACCAGUCUAGAUGCUGCUGUGGUUGUACUUUUUUAGAUAUGAUUAAUACCUACAGUCAGUUGACUUUAAGUAAAGCAAAUUACCUUCCAUAAAGUAGGAGGAUCUCAUUGAAUCAGUUGCAGACAUAAUGAGCAAAGACUGAGGUUCCCCAAAGAUGAAGGCAUUCUGCCUCACAACUGCAACAUAGAAAUUGUGUCUGAGUUUCGAGCCUGCUGGCAUGCCCUGAAUAUUUUGGACUCAAGAGUGAAACAUCCACUUUUAGCUGAAUUUCCAAACUGCCAGAAUGCCCUACAAAUUUUGGACUUGACAGCCUGUACAAUUGCAUGAGCCAAUUCUUUAAAAUAAAUCAAUCUUUUUUCUCUCUCGUUCUCUGAUGGUUAAUUUUAUGUGUCAACUUGAAUGGGCUAAGGAAUUACUAGAUAGCUGGCAAAAUAUUAUUUUUGAGUGUGUCUGUGACUGUGUUUCUGGAAAAGAUUAGCGUUUAAAUCAGUAAAUUGAGUAAAGAAGAUCUUCCCUUCCCAAAUGUGAGUGGGCAAUAUGCAGAAUAGAACAAAAAGGCAGAGGAAGGGUGAAUUCUAUCUCUUCCUGAGCUGAGACAUCCAUCUUCUGCUUUUGGACAUCGAAACUCCUGAUUCUUGGCCCUUCAGACUCUGACUUAUACAGAUUGAAUUUCCCUCAUCUGAAAUUUCAAAUCCAAUUGCUCCAAAAUGUGAAAUAUUUUGAAUGCUAACGUGACCCUCAAAGGAAAUGCUUAGUGGAGCAUUUCAUUUUGGGAUUUUCAGAUUUGGGAUGAUGAAUUGGUAAGUAUAAUGCAAAUAUCCCAAAUUCUGAAAAAAAUUGAAAUCUAAAAUAUUUCCAGUCCCAAGCAUUUUGGAUAAAGGUGAGAUACUCAGUCUGUACCACAGCAUCCCACCCCUUACUUGGUUCUCAGGCCUUCAGACUCAGUCUAUAUUACAGCACUGGCAUUUCUGUUUCUCUCAUUUGCAGAUGGCAGAUAGUGGGACUUUUUGGCCUCUGCAAUUGAUCAUGC